GACGUAGGGUGCGAGCGUUGUCCGGAUUUAUUGGGCGUAAAGAGCUCGUAGGCGGCUCGUCGCGUCGACCGUGAAAACCCGCGGCUUAACUGCGGGCUUGCGGUCGAUACGGGCGGGCUAGAGUUCGGUAGGGGAGACUGGAAUUCCUGGUGUAGCGGUGAAAUGCGCAGAUAUCAGGAGGAACACCUGAGGCGAAGGCGGGCUACUGGGCUGAUACUGACGCUGAUGCGCGAAAGCCAGGGGAGCGAACGGG
rnacentral:rRNA from 1 species